rnacentral:rRNA from 1 species
AGUGAACGCUGGCGGUAGGCCUAACACAUGCAAGUCGAACGGCAGCACAGUAAGAGCUUGCUCUUACGGGUGGCGAGUGGCGGACGGGUGAGGAAUACAUCGGAAUCUACUUUUUCGUGGGGGAUAACGUAGGGAAACUUACGCUAAUACCGCAUACGACCUACGGGUGAAAGCAGGGGAUCUUCGGACCUUGCGCGAUUGAAUGAGCCGAUGUCGGAUUAGCUAGUUGGCGGGGUAAAGACCCACCAAGGCGACGAUCCGUAGCUGGUCUGAGAGGAUGAUCAGCCACACUGGAACUGAGACACGGUCCAGACUCCUACGGGAGGCAGCAGAGGGGAAUAUUGGACAAUGGGCGCAAGCCUGAUCCAGCCAUACCGCGUGGGUGAAGAAGGCCUUCGGGUUGUAAAGCCCUUUUGUUGGGAAAGAAAAGCAGCAGGUUAAUACCCCGCUGUUCUGACGGUACCCAAAGAAUAAGCACCGGCUAACUUCGUG